rnacentral:rRNA from 2 species
AAACAAAAACAAUACGACUCUUAGCGGUGGAUCACUCGGCUCGUGCGUCGAUGAAGAACGCAGCUAGCUGCGAGAACUAAUGUGAAUUGCAGGACACAUUGAUCAUCGACACUUCGAACGCACCUUG